rnacentral:rRNA from 1 species
AUAUGGUAGGAGAGCGUUCUGUAAGCCUGUGAAGGUGGCUUGUAAAGGCUGCUGGAGGUAUCAGAAGUGCGAAUGCUGACAUGAGUAGCGAUAAUGGGGGUGAAAAGCCCCCACGCCGUAAGCCCAAGGUUUCCUGUUCAACGUUCAUCGGAGCAGGGUGAGUCGGCCCCUAAGGCGAGGCAGAGAUGCGUAGCUGAUGGGAAGCAGGUUAAUAUUCCUGCACCGUCGUAUGAUGCGAUGGGGGGACGGAUCGCGGAAGGUUGUCCAACUGUUGGAAUAGUUGGUUUCUGGUUCAUAGAAGGCGCUUAGGCAAAUCCGGGCGCGUGAUUCAAGGGACUGGGACGAGGCACUUAGGUGCUGAAGCAAUCGGAAGUGGUUCCAAGAAAAGCCUCUAAGCUUCAGUCAUACGAGACCGUACCGCAAACCGACACAGGUGGGCGAGAUGAGUAUUCUAAGGCGCUUGAGAGAACUCGGGAGAAGGAACUCGGCAAAUUGGUACCGUAACUUCGGGAAAAGGUACGCCCCGGUAGCUUGACCACUUUACUGUGGAAGGGUGAAAGGGUUGCAAUAAACUGGUGGCUGCGACUGUUUAAUAAAAACACAGCACUCUGCAAACACGAAAGUGGACGUAUAGGGUGUGACGCCUGCCCGGUGCUGGAAGAUUAAAUGAUGGGGUGCAAGCUCUUGAUUGAAGUCCCAGUAAACGGCGGCCGUAACUAUAACGGUCCUAAGGUAGCGAAAUUCCUUGUCGGGUAAGUUCCGACCUGCACGAAUGGCGUAACGAUGGCCACACUGUCUCCUCCCGAGACUCAGCGAAGUUGAAGUGUUUGUGAUGAUGCAAUCUACCCGCGGCUAGACGGAAAGACCCCAUGAACCUUUACUGUAGCUUUGCAUUGGACUUUGAACCAAUCUGUGUAGGAUAGGUGGGAGGCUUAGAAGCGGGGACGCCAGUUCUCGUGGAGCCAUCCUUGAAAUACCACCCUGGUUUGUUUGAGGUUCUAACCUAGUCCCGUAAUCCGGGUCGGGGACAGUGCAUGGUAGGCAGUUUGACUGGGGCGGUCUCCUCCUAAAGUGUAACGGAGGAGUUCGAAGGUACGCUAGGUACGGUCGGACAUCGUGCUAAUAGUGCAAUGGCAUAAGCGUGCUUAACUGCGAGACUGACAAGUCGAGCAGGUACGAAAGUAGGACAUAGUGAUCCGGUGGUUCUGUAUGGAAGGGCCAUCGCUCAACGGAUAAAAGGUACUCUGGGGAUAACAGGCUGAUUCCUCCCAAGAGUUCAUAUCGACGGGGGAGUUUGGCACCUCGAUGUCGGCUCAUCACAUCCUGGGGCUGUAGCCGGUCCCAAGGGUAUGGCUGUUCGCCAUUUAAAGUGGUACGUGAGCUGGGUUUAAAACGUCGUGAGACAGUUUGGUCCCUAUCUGCCGUGGGCGUUGGAAAUUUGAAGGGGGCUGCUCCUAGUACGAGAGGACCGGAGUGGACGAACCUCUGGUGUACCGGUUGUCACGCCAGUGGCAUUGCCGGGUAGCUAAGUUCGGAAGAGAUAACCGCUGAAAGCAUCUAAGCGGGAAACUUGCCUUAAGAUGAGAUUUCCCGGAGCCUUGAGCUCCUUGAAGGGUCGUUCGAGACCAGGACGUUGAUAGGUCAGGUGUGGAAGUGCAGUAAUGCAUUAAGCUAACUGAUACUAAUUGCCCGUACGGCUUGUCCCUAUAACCUUAGCAGGUU